GAUGAACGCUGGCGGCGUGCCUAAUACAUGCAAGUCGAGCGAACGGACGAGAAGCUUGCUUCUCUGAUGUUAGCGGCGGACGGGUGAGUAACACGUGGAUAACCUACCUAUAAGACUGGGAUAACUUCGGGAAACCGGAGCUAAUACCGGAUAAUAUUUUGAACCGCAUGGUUCAAAAGUGAAAGACGGUCUUGCUGUCACUUAUAGAUGGAUCCGCGCUGCAUUAGCUAGUUGGUAAGGUAACGGCUUACCAAGGCAACGGUGCAUAGCCGACCUGAGAGGGUGGACCGCCACACUGGGACCUGAAACCGGCUCCGGCCUCCACGGGAAGCAGGAAGAGGGAAUUCUCCGCAAGGGGCGGAAAGCUGAAGGAAACACCCCGGGGUGAGGAAGAAGGGUCUCCGAUCGGAAAAAUCUUUUUAUAGGGGAGAAAAAGUGUGAUAGUAAAAGGUGCACACCGUGACGGUACCUAAUCAGAAAGCCACGGCUAACUACGUG
rnacentral:rRNA from 1 species